rnacentral:rRNA from 1 species
AACGAACGCUGGCGGCAUGCCUAACACAUGCAAGUCGAACGAUUGCCUUCGGGUGAUAGUGGCGCACGGGUGCGUAACGCGUGGGAAUCUGCCCUUAGGUUCGGAAUAACAGCUGGAAACGGCUGCUAAUACCGGAUGAUAUCGCGAGAUCAAAGAUUUAUCGCCUGAGGAUGAGCCCGCGUUGGAUUAGGUAGUUGGUGGGGUAAAGGCCUACCAAGCCGACGAUCCAUAGCUGGUCUGAGAGGAUGAUCAGCCACACUGGGACUGAGACACGGCCCAGACUCCUACGGGGGGCAGCAGUGGGGAAUAUUGGACAAUGGGCGCAAGCCUGAUCCAGCAAUGCCGUGUGAGUGAUGAAGGCCCUAGGGUUGUAAAGCUCUUUUACCCGGGAAGAUAAUGACUGUACCGGGAGAAUAAGCCCCGGCUAACUCCGUG